UGAGGGCACACUUCAUUUCAUUUUACAAAAAUAUUUAUUUUAUACACUAAAUUUUUACUUGUAGUUGACACAAUAAUUGUACGUAUUUAUGGAGCACAGUGCUAUUAGUAGUAUACGCUUGUGAUACAUGAUAAAUACAGAUUUACCGUGGUACUAGAACACCGACAUCAUUUUAUCUGUGGUGCCUACACAUUUUCUCUUUUGUGUAUCUGAGUGUUUGAAAGAGCAACCUUGUGUUUUACCUUUAGCUCUUUGCCUCUCGGACCCUGUGACUCUGUUUCGCACAGGGACUGGCCUUUUCCUCCUACUAUAAAGAAUGAGCGCUCGGGUGGCACUCCAGGAUGGGUGUGGCUGACCUUCACAGGAUGAGACCUGUCUCUAGAUGGGAUGUGUCGGGAACGGCAUGUGAUGAAAAGCGGGCUGCAGGCUCCACGGCCGGGCCCCUAUCCAGGAGGCAGAGGUAGCGGGUUACUGCUGCAAAGAAGAAAACAGGCCAUUUCGGGUAGGCAAACGGCAGGGUUCUCAUUUAGAUGCAGUGGCUUCCGCUUUCAAAGGAAGCCAAAGCCGCUGACUGAAAAAGGACGAAGGCCAGGGAAGGGGCAGGAGGGGUCCUAAAGGGGGAGUGUGGGGUGCAGGGCCCAGCGUGGCCAACCCGCUGAGAGGACACACUGACUGGAAGUCAGAGCACAGGUGGUCUGGCACACGCCUACACAACACCACUGACAGCUGCAUCGGUUCUCGUCCGUUACUUUAAAACUGCAUAAAGAUAUUUAGGCCGACAAAGUACUUGGAAAUCUUUCAUGACAAAAAUUUCGGGACCAGGCAAAUAAAAACCUGUUCUCAUUCUGAUCACCACACUUCUUUUUUUUUAAUGGCACAAGAAACAUUUGACCUUUGAAGUCUUUUGUGGAUGUUUAACCAAUCUUUACUGAAAUCCCACACACCAAGCCCUGUCACAGGACUGCAGACGCGGACCUGAGCAGGACGUCGGUUUUGCCUCCCUCAGAGCUGAGACUGUACUGGGAGCAGAGACACUAAUAAGCCAGUGAGCGACAUAGUAUAUAUUAGCACUAUGUCAGGAGGCUAAUAAGCAGCUGAAGCAGGGACUCGGGGUCCCCCCGACACCUCACUCAGUUGCCUCCACGCUGUAUGGACCCCAGGACCUGCUGCUCUGUGUCACAGUACUCCUUCUACCAGUCAACUCCCGUCCACACUGACUGCCCACUCGUCCCGCUGGGGCUCCCUUACCCUGCACGGGCCAUCGCCGACGAGGAGCCUGCUCAAGUCAAUCCCUCCCGCUGCCCUUGCUAACGUGUCUGUCCUCAGCAGUCAGUGGAAACUAUAAACUGGAAAUCCACUCUUCCCGUCUGCCUGCAAGAUACUGCUUCUCAUGAUCCUCAAAAUGCAUGCCAAACCCCUGAUAGCAUGUACAAUGCCCUGCAGACCCUGUGUCUAUUUACCUUUCUAAUCUCACUGUGGGCCACGGGACUUACCAACCACCAACGCCCCCCGCCCCGGAAAUGACAGUGUCGGCAGACUGCCUUUACUGACAAUCCUACCAAGGAGGUUUCUGAACAAGUUUCUAGUUUCUGGACACUUUAACGUUUACUAAAAUAUUGUGACAGUACAGAGAGUCACAGCGUUCCGUCAGUUCCCCUACUGUGAACAUCUUACACUGCAUGGUACAUGUGUCACAGCUAACAAGCCAAUGCAGGAAGUGUUAUUACGCUAACAUGCCCGCCUUGUUCACACUGCCUCGUUCUCAUCGCGGGUCCUUUUCUGCUCCAGGACCCCUUCGGGAGCACACGCUACCCGCGGCUGGCAUGUCUCCUCGGGCGCUUUGGGCUCUGACAGUUUCCAGGGUGUCUCAGGUAUCAGCACAACCUCCCCAGGCUGGUUUUUCUGAUGCUGCCCGUAACUGCAUCGGUGUCACGGUUUCACGGCAGAGGACUAUGGGGGUGCAGGUCCUCACCCCCACCAUCAAGGGUACACACUAUUCUCAUGCCUGGUCACUACGACACUGACCCUGUCCACCUGGCUGAGGUGCUGAGGGCCAGGUUGCUCCACUCUGAGUCCCCCCACCCCCUCCGCACUGUGCUCCUUGGAAGGAAGUCAUUCUGCACAGCCCAUCCUUCAGGGUGGGGCGUGACACUCCAUGGUUAUUCAGAAUUCCUCUCCUUGGGAAAUCUGCCCGUUCUCUUACUUACGUACGCAGUCACUCGUAUCAAUAUGGCCUCGUGGAGCUGCAUCUCAUACUCUGGUUACACACCAGUGCUGCAUUACUUGGCCGCUCCAACAGUGCCAACCCCGGCCUUCGGGAGGUGGCAGCGGCUGCCUGCCUGUCACACACACCAUCACACUUGUCUUUCUGGGCCACAGGGUGCUCCAGGCUCCUAUUCUAUCAUCCUUUUGCCAGGCCAAGAAACCAUUUCCCCAAAGAGGCCUGGCUCUUUCCACUGGAGAAUGCUGUAAACCUAGUAGUAUGUGGUGCUAGGCACGCUCGGUGCUCCUAGGACCCACAUGGUGCGAGAGCCAUGAUUAAACUAUCGUUACAGAUUGCCUGUACUAAUCUCCUUCGAGUACGGGGUGACCUUUCGGAGUAGAAGCCGCGAUUCUCUGGCUGGUCUGUGAACAAAAAUAGUAUUUAAUGAGCUAGCAGAGCUGGUGCAGGAUAAUCAGGGCACAAGUGAAUGCGUUUUGGUGACUACAAAGCUCCGCAGAAAUGUAGUAUAUGAAGUGAUUUUAAUCAGCUUACGGUAAAGCCCUGCAGGCUUCUCGCCUCAGCUCUGUGAGUCAGUUGGGAAGGGAGUCUCGGCUGCUGAGAAUCGACUCAUUUAUCUCCUGUUUCUUCUCAUCUUAUCUGAUCUCUGGUCUUUCUAAAAGCUGUCAAAUUAAGACUUAGUCAGAAACUGCUUUUCGACAGAGAGCUACAAAAGAAAUCUGGAUUUCUUUCUGGAAAGGAGCACAGAAAUAAAAUUGCUUACUAUUUACAAAUAGUGCCCUAGAAUACGAACAGUGCGAGUUUAGCCCUCCUCUUCUCCCCAGCGCCCGGGUCUCUGUGGAAGGCCUAAGGAAGGGAGCGCAAGCGUUGUCACCGGCGGAGGCAGAGACCCCAUCACGCGGUCAGGCUUACUGGGCAGCGGUGACAACUUUUCCACCAGGCUGUGCCGGCUAAAAAGCUGUAACCGUGCGGCCAGCUUUGCCAGCCGAGUCAGAAAGGCUCAGAGGAAAUCGGACAAAGAAGAGUUUACUGUCGAUCAGUGGGUGUCAGGCAUGUCUCCUCCAUGUCAAUGGACGUCUUAGACACUCCCUGCCGGGACAAAACGCCUGGCACCCACACUCUAAACAGGAGCUUUACU